UCUACUAAAUGAAUGCAAAACUUUGAAUUUAUUAUAUAUUGGCGUGGGAUAUAAUAAAUAUUUAGGUCAAAUUUCUACGUAUCACAAUCUCAUACAAACAAAAAAUACAAACCAAGAAAAGCUACAAAAUAUGCAACAAUCUUAUAUCUAUACAUUACAUCUCUACAGCAAAUAGAAAUAUUUUUUAAAAAUUCAGAUGCCAUUACAAGAUCAAUAAAACAUGUAAUUCAAGACUUUCGCACAGUGCAGUACACUAUCUAAACCGGUAAUACAUUCGCACCUUCCUUAAGGCCUUGUUCGAAUCCUAAUUACAUUCCAAUUGCAACGCGCACUAUAAUUCAAACGAAAGUACCAUGCAUAUCUUCCACAUCACGUAAGCACAAACCAAUCCCACGCACCAGGGUGCGUAGUACCGGUAAUCGACAGUGGUCUUUAUUGAUUUUUCAUUUCCCAGCCAAUUCAAUUAUCUGGCAGGAGAGGACAAUUGGAUUAAUUCGGGCCCUUAAUUCCCUCGCUUCCAACAAUUGAGUUAGAUGGCUUGAUUCCAAGCGUUAUUUGUCUCGACCAUGCAGGCCGUAUUAAAAACCGUUACGCACUGUCGGCCACUUACCGAUGACCAGGUCAUUGGAUUCAAGAAAAUGUAUAGGCUUGUAUUGUGCAUGCCUCACAAUAAGUUUCAUGAGACAUUACAAAAUUAGAAACACGAGGAUACAGAAUUUCUUGUGAAGCAUGCACAAUAUGCAUUUGGUAUCGAUGAAUGUAAUUGACUAUUAUUAAAACAUGAACGAUGCAAAGAUGCAAAGAAUUAACGAUGAUGAUAAAGUAAUGUAUUAUUGAAUCAAAUGAAAGAAUUCUCACGAGCGAUUUUCGUAUUUAUUUUUAUCUUAUUUUAUUUAUUUGAUUACUA